AAUGACGAUGCUAAUGAAGCCGGCCCAAGCCACGGCGUGGCCGCCCCCAACGUACGAAGGAGGAAUGAAGCUCGGAUGGCGAAAAGGUUGUGCAAAUGGCGUCGUGAGUUCAGAAAGCUCGAAAAAUGAGUCACCCGGCCGGGUGAAUUUGUGGGGUUGAAAACCCACCCAGCCGGGUCAUUUUUGAAGGUAACUCGGAGUCCAGAUUUAUCGCCCGGUCAGGCGAUGUCAUCUUUCGGAACGCCCGGUCGGGCGUUUCCCCGCGAGCCAUCCAGAAGCCUUUGGCCCGGUCGGGCGAUUCCCUCUUCUAAUUUCGCCCGGUCGGGCGUUUUGGAGUUUCAACUGCAAAAUGGCAGUUCUGGCGGCAGUUUUGAGGAUUAAAAACGAGAAAAAUCAGAGCAGAAAGGGGGAGGACUCCUGGGGACGAUUGGGACAGAGAUUGGAGAGAAAGAAGAGAGGAAGAAGAAGAGAAGAGGAAGGAAGGGAGAUCUAAUCUUCAUCAUCUCGGAGGAGAUUUACUACUAUCUACACAUUGAGUUCUAUGGUUCUUCUCGUUUGGUUGUGGAUGUGUAACUAAACUCUUCCGUUGCUCCUAAUUAGUGAAAGAUGUGAAUUACUUUAGGAUUCUAUGUAUUAAUAUUAUUCUAUGAUCUUUUCUA